rnacentral:rRNA from 1 species
GGGAAACUGCCCGAUGGAGGGGGAUAACUACUGGAAACGGUAGCUAAUACCGCAUAACGUCGCAAGACCAAAGUGGGGGACCUUCGGGCCUCACACCAUCGGAUGUGCCCAGAUGGGAUUAGCUAGUAGGUGGGGUAAUGGCUCACCUAGGCGACGAUCCCUAGCUGGUCUGAGAGGAUGACCAGCCACACUGGAACUGAGACACGGUCCAGACUCCUACGGGAGGCAGCAGUGGGGAAUAUUGCACAAUGGGCGCAAGCCUGAUGCAGCCAUGCCGCGUGUAUGAAGAAGGCCUUCGGGUUGUAAAGUACUUUCAGCGGGGAGGAAGGCGGUGAAGUUAAUAGCUUCACCGAUUGACGUUACCCGCAGAAGAAGCACCGGCUAACUCCGUGCCAGCAGCCGCGGUAAUACGGAGGGUGCAAGCGUUAAUCGGAAUUACUGGGCGUAAAGCGCACGCAGGCGGUCUGUCAAGUCGGAUGUGAAGUCCCCGGGCUUAACCUGGGAACUGCAUUCGAAACUGGCAGGCUAGAGUCUUGUAGAGGGGGGUAGAAUUCCAGGU